AGGUAUCUGAAGAGACUAACUUCCCCAUCAAGGGAGAUUAUUAGCAACAUCCUGAUCUGAACAGACACAGUUGGGACUGAGAGUGGUCAGAGAAAACAAGCGAUAAGAUGAGAUCUGCAGGCCAAGACGGAUGUGAACAAUUUAUGAUCAGUAAAUCAUUGAAAGGAUGAGUUUAUCUGGAGGCGAUGAGUAGAACAUUCGAUUAUUUGACUAUACCCAUAAUGUACGUAUUAGAGUAUACAAUGGCAUUUUAUAUUAUACAUAUUUAAUUAGAAUUGAAACAUGAGAUAUAUUGUGCUGUGUUGAAAUAGGUAAUGAAUGGGAAGAGAAAAGCUUCCUAGGGCUAACUUUAGACUAUAGAUUUUAAAUUAAUUUUGUUCCUAGAGGUGAACAAAUAGGUAUGGGAUAAAUCUUUGGCAACUCUUGAGGGACAUUAAAACUAUCCAGUUAUCAUCUCUUUUCCUCAAGGAGGCGCACAUUGCUUCCAGACCAGGAUGGAAGUGACCCGCAAGAAAAUACUGGGUCCAUAUUACAGAAAGCCUUCAGAAAAAGCUUUGGGUAUACGAUGGUGACACUUCCCUGUUAAGGGUCCUUCUCAAAAUGAUUUUCCAAUUAAUGUAUAUUAGAACAAUGCUCACUCUAUCAUAAAGCCAGUUUCCAUAUAGCUGGCAUUAUGGACUGAAUGUCUGCGUCUCCUCAGAAUUUAUAUGUUGAAAGCCCUCACCCCCUUGGAGAAGUCUUUUGCUCUGGUGGGGCCUUUGGAGGUAAUUAGGGUUAGAUGAAGUCAUAAGAGCAGGUCCUCACGAUGGAAUUAGUGCUUGUAUAAGAAGAAACCAGAGACCUCUCUCUCCGCCAUGUGAAGACACAGCAAGGUGUCUGUCUGCAAACCAGGAAGUGAGCUCUUGCGACAUCGAAUCUGCCAGCACCUUGAUCUUGGACCUCUGGCCUCCAGAACUGUGAGAAAUAAAUGUUUGUGGUUUAAGCCACCUAGUCUAUGGCCUUUGUUAUAAUAGUCCAAGCUGACUAAGGUACACGAGUUUAUUUGGGACACUCUAUUCUAUUCUCUUGAUGUUUAUCUCGGCACUAAUACUACACUAUUAUAUUUUACGAAAGCCCUCUCUGAUAAGAUGUAUCUUCUUAUCUUGAUGUUUAUCUUAUUUUAUCUUAUCUAAAAGAGUGUCUUAUCUCUUCUUUUGCUUUUCUUUGUACAUAAUCUGGGGAUAGUUUUAGGUUAUCCAAAUAAGCAAUAGUAUCAUUGCAAUUAAUGACAGUUUUAUCUUUUCUAUUACUAUACUUUUUAAUUACUAUACUUUUUAACUUAUUU